rnacentral:rRNA from 1 species
GACGAACGCUGGCGGCGUGCUUAACACAUGCAAGUCGAACGAUGAAGCCGGAGCAUGCUCUGUUGAAUUAGUGGCGAACGGGUGAGUAACACGUGAGUAACCUGCCCUUGACUCUGGGAUAACUGCGGGAAACUGUAGCUAAUACCGGAUCCGUCCCUCGGUGGCAUAUCUUGGGGGCGGAAAGAAUUUUGGUCAAGGAUGGACUCGCGUCCUAGCAGCUAGUUGGGGAGGUAAAGGCUCACUAAGGUGACGACGGGUAGCCGGCCUGAGAGGGUGACCGGCCAGCCGGGGACUGAGACACGGCCCAGACUCCUACGGGAGGCAGCAGUGGGGAAGAUGGCACAAUGGGCUCAAGCCGGAUGCAGCAACGCCGCGUGAGGGAUGACUGCCUUCGAGUUGUAAACCUCUUAUAGUAAGGAAGAAGCGAAAGUGACGGUACCUGCAGAAAAAGCACCGGCUAACUACGUGCCAGCCGCCGCAGUAA